rnacentral:rRNA from 1 species
GACGAACGCUGGCGGCGUGCUUAACACAUGCAAGUCGAGCGAGGCCCCUCCUUCGGGAGGGUGUCCUAGCGGCCAACGGGUGAGUAACACGUGGGCAACCUGCCCUCAGCUCUGGGAUAACUCCGGGAAACCGGGGCUAAUACCGGAUACGGCCUCCACGGGCAUCUGCGGAGGUGGAAAGUUUUUCGGCUGAGGAUGGGCCCGCGGCCUAUCAGCUAGUUGGUGGGGUAGUGGCCCACCAAGGCGACGACGGGUAGCCGGCCUGAGAGGGCGACCGGCCACACUGGGACUGAGACACGGCCCAGACUCCUACGGGAGGCAGCAGUGGGGAAUAUUGCGCAAUGGGCGAAAGCCUGACGCAGCGACGCCGCGUGAGGGACGAAGGCCUUCGGGUUGUAAACCUCUUUCAGCAGGGACGAAGCGAAAGUGACGGUACCUGCAGAAGAAGCACCGGCCAACUACGUG